GACGAACGCUGGCGGCGUGCUUAACACAUGCAAGUCGAACGGAAAGGCCCUGCUUUUGUGGGGUGCUCGAGUGGCGAACGGGUGAGUAACACGUGAGUAACCUGCCCUUGACUUUGGGAUGACUUCAGGAAACUGGGGCUAAUACCGGAUAGGAGCUCCUGCUGCAUGGUGGGGGUUGGAAAGUUUCGGCGGUUGGGGAUGGACUCGCGGCUUAUCAGCUUGUUGGUGGGGUAGUGGCUUACCAAGGCUUUGACGGGUAGCCGGCCUGAGAGGGUGACCGGCCACAUUGGGACUGAGAGACGGCCCAGACUCCUACGGGAGGCAGCAGUGGGGAAUAUUGCACAAUGGGCGGAAGCCUGAUGCAGCAACGCCGCGUGCGGGAUGACGGCCUUCGGGUUGUAAACCGCUUUCGCCUGUGACGAAGCGUGAGUGACGGUAAUGGGUAAAGAAGCACCGGCUAACUACGUG
rnacentral:rRNA from 1 species